rnacentral:rRNA from 1 species
UACGAAAAGAAUAAGUCUCAUAUAAAAAUUAAAUAGGUAAAAAGGGUAAGUAGGCGGUAAAACUUGAGUAUAGAAUGAUAAAGAAAGAGUAAUUAUCAAAAGAGCGAUGAAAUGCUAUGAAAUUGAUAGGAAGACCAAAUUGAAGAGAUCUUUCUUAUUUAUACUGACGCUGAGAUACGUAAGUGUGGGUAGCAAAAAGG